GGCGAGAGUAGAAGCGUUCAGCAGGGCCGCCACCCCGUUUGCAGGGAGGGCGGCCGGCGGGUCAUUGCUCUUGAA
rfam:Oryza sativa (indica cultivar-group) chromosome 1, whole genome shotgun sequence.